AUUGAACGCUGGCGGCAGGCCUAACACAUGCAAGUCGAGCGGAUGAAGGGAGCUUGCUCCUGGAUUCAGCGGCGGACGGGUGAGUAAUGCCUAGGAAUCUGCCUGGUAGUGGGGGAUAACGUCCGGAAACGGGCGCUAAUACCGCAUACGUCCUGAGGGAGAAAGUGGGGGAUCUUCGGACCUCACCCUAUCAGUUACGCCUAGGUCGGAUUAGCUAGUUGGUGGGGUAAAGGCCUACCAAGGCGACGAUCCGUAACUGGUCUGAGAGGAUGAUCAGUCACACUGGAACUGAGACACGGUCCAGACUCCUACGGGAGGCAGCAGUGGGGAAUAUUGGACAAUGGGCGAAAGCCUGAUCCAGCCAUGCCGCGUGUGUGAAGAAGGUCUUCGGAUUGUAAAGCACUUUAAGUUGGGAGGAAGGGCAGUAAGUUAAUACCUUGCUGUUUUGACGUUACCAACAGAAUAAGCACCGGCUAACUUCGUG
rnacentral:rRNA from 1 species